AAUGAACGUUGGCGGCGUGGAUUAGGCAUGCCAGUCGAGCGAGAACCCCGCAAGGGGGGACAGCGGCGAAAGGGACAGUAAUGUGUAGAUUAUCUGCCCUCAGGUCCGGGAUAGCUGCGGGAAACUGCAGGUAAUACCGGAUAACAUCUCCGGAUCAAAGGUGUGAUUCCGCCUGAGGAUGAGUCUGCAUCCUAUUAGCUAGUUGGUGGGGUAAUGGCCUACCAAGGCAUUGAUGGGUAGCAGGUGUGAGAGCACGACCUGCGUCAUUGGGACUGAGACACUGCCCAGACACCUACGGGUGGCUGCAGUCGAGAAUCUUCGGCAAUGGGCGCAAGCCUGACCGAGCGACGCCGCGUGUGGGAUGAAGGCCUUCGGGUUGUAAACCACUGUCAGAGGGGAUGAAAUGCAGGUGGGUGCUCCCAUCUGUUUGACAUAGCCUCAGAGGAAGGACGGGCUAAGUUCGUG
rnacentral:rRNA from 1 species